rnacentral:rRNA from 1 species
AACAGGGAAAAGCCCAGCACCGAAGCCUGUGGUCAUUUGGUCACUAGGCAAUGUGGUGUUCAGGUCGUUCCAUAGAGGUGCUGCUCCACCCUAAGUCCAGCAAUGAGUACGGUGGUACGGACAUGGCCCACAGAGGGUGAAAGGCCCGUGGGGGUGGAGAUCAGGCAGGCCAGUGCCUCUCUGGGUAGACCUUGGAGUCGGGUUGUUUGUGAAUGCAGCCCAAAGUGGGUGGUAAACUCCAUCCAAGGCUAAAUACUUGCACGAGUCCGAUAGCGAACAAGUACCGUGAGGGAAAGUUGAAAAGUACUUUGAAGAGAGAGUAAACAGUGCGUGAAACCGCUCAGAGGUAAACGGGUGGAGUUGAACUGCAAGCUUCGGGAAUUCAGCUGGUGAGUGUGGUUUGGGCUUGGUCAAGUCGGUUGGACAUUGAGGUCUGUGUAGCGGCAGGUCCUUACUCUCGGGUAAGGAUGCGCGAUACACUUAUCAAGUGUUGUGCGCCUCUUUGUUUAUCGGGCCAAUUUGCCAGUGCACUUUCUCGGAGUGUUCACCACGACCGGCACUGCUGUCUGAUUGCUGUGGUUAAACCGGACUUACAGGGCUCUUGUGGCGUUGUAUGGCCGGGAAGGCAGGUAGCUCGUUGGCUAGCUUGCGGUUUACCGCUGGCGUUUGGUUUUCGAGUGUAAAUAGCUGACCACGAUAUUUCUGUGCAGUGUGUCGGAGACGGCGGCUUGUGGUACGUGCGUGCGUGCCGGUUCUGCUGGCGUGUCCGGGUUUGGUUGUCAUGUUGCUUGUGAAUGCAGGCCUGGCAAUGGUUCGGAUUCGUUUGGUGGGCGGUUGCGUAUGUGGUGCCGUUAAGGGCCAACAGUCUGUGGUGUAGUGGUAGACUAUCCACCUGACCCGUCUUGAAACACGGACCAAGGAGAGUAACAUGUGCGCGAGUCAUUGGGCGUAACGAAACCCACAGGCGCAGUGAAAGUAAAGGCUUGGCUUGUCCAGGCUGAGGUGAGAUCCUGUCGUUUUCACACAUGGUGCCACCAAGCAACGAGCGGCAGGCGCAUCACCGGCCCGUCCCAUGACGUAGACACAUAAUCUUCGGACCAGUGCACCGUCGGGGCGGAGCAUGAGCGUACAUGUUGAGACCCGAAAGAUGGUGAACUAUGCUUGCGCAGGUUGAAGCCAGAGGAAACUCUGGUGGAGGACCGCAGCGAUUCUGACGUGCAAAUCGAUCGUCAAACGUGAGUAUAGGGGCGAAA